UGCGUAGGGUGCAAGCGUUAAUCGGAAUUACUGGGCGUAAAGCGUGCGCAGGCGGUUUUGUAAGUCUGUCGUGAAAUCCCCGGGCUCAACCUGGGAAUUGCGAUGGAGACUGCAAGGCUAGAAUCUGGCAGAGGGGGGGUAGAAUUCCACGUGUAGCAGUGAAAUGCGUAGAGAUGUGGAGGAACACCGAUGGCGAAGGCAGCCCCCUGGGUCAAGAUUGACGCUCAUGCACGAAAGGCGUGGGGAGCAAACAGG
rnacentral:rRNA from 1 species